UGGGAAUACGCCGAGCGCGAAGAUGAUCAGCAUAACUAGGCCAACGACCGCUUCAAGCUCUUCAUCUUCGAAGCCAGAAACAUCACCGGCGAUUUCUUCUCAUUCUCCAUCUUCUUCGACUCUAUCUAUCCAGAAGCACAAACCUCCGAGCGGCAGAACUCCCGAUGGAAGAAAUGAAAACCGAUCGCGAGUGGAGAUCAACUUCGGAUCUCAGUACCAGAGGCAACAGGCCAAAGCAAUGGUGGAGACGAAGGAUGCGACGGUUGGUGACCGGAUUGCGGUAGCGGCGGCGCACGAAUCGAAUCUUCGCCGCGAUGGGAAGAACUUGAAGAUUUGGGAUCCGAGUCGAGUGCAGAGAAAGAGAGAAAGCUUCACGAUGGAGGAUCCUCGAUCUAGGGUUUUUUUUUUUUUUUUUGGUGUGGUGACCCCCAAAGAAAAAUCCCCGAUCAAAAGAGAGAAAACCCCCCCUUUUUAGCUCCGUGGGAGAGAGAGAUCCUGAUGAAGAGAGUGCGGGAGCCCCCCCUCCCCCCCGCGAGAGAGAAUUCCCCGUGCGAGCUAAAACCCCCCUUUUUCUUUUUGUUUUCUUCUUUUUUUUCUUUCUUUCUUUUCUCUCCUUUUUCUUUAUUUCUCCCUUUUUUUUCUUUUUCUUUUUGAUUCCUUUACUUCUUUUUUCUUUCUCUCUAUAUUAUUUUUUUUUCUUUUCAUUUUCAUUUUUUUAUUUUUUUUAUUUUUUUAUAUGUUUUCAAAUUGAAUGUUUAAAACGUCAACAAAAAAUUCCGGGUGUCAACAGCUGCCCCUCUUGGGUGGGAGCUCGAAGAGGUUCCACUCAAAGACAAAAUUGAUACCUGAAAUUUUUAGUCGACUCGGCUUUGAAAAAUAGAAAACGACAAAAGCAAUGAUGGUUGGUUAGGACGUACCUGAUACUUACCUUUGCUCAUCAAGGUAUCUGAACUCUUGUUGGGGUUUAUUCACUCUAUCUCUGUUUCUCUUUCUCGUGGAAUGGAAUGAAGACAAUAAAAUCACUAAAUGAAAAAUGAAUGGUUUAAGGACAACCUACGAACCGUAUGGUUUAGACUGGGAGAAAGGUCUCACCGUGUAAAAACGGGUUUUGACUGGAUGAAAUGUCUCACCGUGUAAAAACGGGUUUCGACUGGGAGAAAUGUCUCACCGUGUAAAAAUGGGUUUUGACUGGAUGAAAUGUCUCACCGUAUACGAACGGGUUUCGAUCGGGUGUGAUAGUCUCACCAUAUACAAAUGGGUUUUGACUGAGAGGAAGGUCUCACCAUAUACAAAUGGGUUUCGACCAAGUAUGAUAGUCUCACCAUAUACAAACGGGUUUCGACUGAGAGGAAUGUCUCACUGUAUAUGAACGGGUUUCGACCGGGUAUGAUAGUCUCACCGUAUACAAACGGGUUUCGACUGAGAGGAAGGUCUCACCAUAUACAAAUGGGUUUCGACCAGGUAUGAUAGUCUCACCGUAUACAAACGGGUUUCGACUGAGAGGAAGGUCUCACCAUAUACAAAUGGGUUUCGACCGGGUAUGAUAAUCUCACCGUAUACAAACGGGUUUCGACUGAAAGGAAGGUCUUUUCGACCAGUUAUUAGUUUCAAAAUUUCUAGAGAACCAAUCUUGCAAAAUAACAUUGAUUGUCAAAUCCUUUUAGAGAAGAUUUUAACAAAAUGGGAUCUGAUUAACCAUCUAAGGGUUAAAUCAAAUAUGCCAAGUGGAAACAUCCUAAUCAAAAGAGGUCUUUCACACUAGCUCUCAAAAAUGGCUUUUGUUCCCAACCAUUGAUAUGGGAAAACUGUUUAAAUCUCACUAGAGAAAUCUCACUCAACCUAUGUCUAAGGUUUUCGGAAACGUUCACAGUGAAUACAACCAAUUGAUCAAAAGGUCUUUUAAAGGGACCGUAAUGAUGGCUUGGUCAUGGGCUUACACAAAGGGUAUGCACUUUGAGGCCAAGAAAUGAAUAUUCAAUCAAUAUCUUCAUCAGGUUUACAAGUCAAGAACCUUGAAGAUAAGAUAAGAUAGGAUUGCUUCCACUCCUUCUAGUGGUAGCUCCUAUGUGAUAUUCUCAUUUCAACUCAAACCAUCCUAAUCAGAAGAGACUUCGGAUAAGGGUUGUAAUGUUGGUUUGGGUGAGGCUUAGAAAGGCUUGAAAAACUUUCAGAUAUCAAAGGGUUAAAAAGUGAGUGAUUAUCUUGGCAUCAUUACCAUCACACGACUUCUCAAAAAUUCGACUCUUGAAAUUUAACCUAUCUCGAGAGUCCUUUUGGUAAUUUGUCUUGAGACAUGAGAGCUUCGCUCUUUGUUCUAAUGACAUUGCUUGCAAUAUAGGUUUUCUUUUGUAAUGCAUUUCUUUUGUUUUUCAAUGAAUGAUCUUUUGCAUGAUCAUGGAUUUCGCUCUUUUUUGCAUUCUUGCUUUUCUUUGCAUUUUUUUUCAUGGGCAUCAGCCUUGCUUUUACCAAGCACACUGCUUUUUCAUGCCCCCUAGUUUUCAUCCUCUUUUGGGUAUCUAGGACUCUUGAGUGGCAUUUACAAACAUUACCAAUAUCCUCAAUUUUGUUGGUAAAUCAGGUGCCUUGCCCCAGUGUGGGGAGAUAAUCAUCACCUGGGGUUAUGAAAGAAUUGCAUAAGGCUCAAAUUGGCUAAGCAAUGGAUAAUUGUGUUUGUGGUAGUGAACGGAAUGCUCUUCGUCACUUUGGGAUGCUUCGAGUUUUGAUAAGAAAUCACCUGAAGUUAGCACAAGAAGAUUGAUACAAGUGAAAGCAAUAAAAUCUUUCUUAAUCUUUUGCUCCAUAAUUUUCAACCAAGACCCCCUAUUUUGCUCCAAUGUGGGGUUGUUCUUGACAGGGUUAUUUUGGAAUGCUCCCUAUUUGGCUUAGAGUGGCUUGCAAGGGAUAUCAAUAGUGUUUGGGAUUGAGAAAUGAAAUGCCUUUAUCAUCUUAAAUCAUGUAUUUACUGUGAAUGAAUCCUAUGCCCUAAGACAUGGUUCUUUCCACUCAAUUCUUUCAAAGAGUGUAUGAGGACGUGUUUGGUAAAAGGGUUGCCUCUCAUCAUUUUAGGCACUACCACCUGGCAUAUUUAACAAUCCUUUUCAGGUUUUUCAAAACCCACUUUAGUUAAAUUCAGCUCCGUGGGGAAAUGAAAAUAUAAUGAAAUUUUGUCUGAAAUGACAUGUUUCCUUGACCCUAUUGGGGAGAUUUUUUGGAAGUAAGAUUGGACAAAAUUUGUAAACAGAACAGGCUUUACUUAGCACAUGGGUUCAUUUCUAGAGUUCUAACUGUACUUCUAGAAUUCUAACCGACUCUUUGUAUUUCUAACUCUUUUGGCAUUCUAANNNNNNNNNNNNNNNNNNNNNNNNNNNNNNNNNNNNNNNNNNNNNNNNNNNNNNNNNNNNNNNNNNNNNNNNNNNNNNNNNNNNNNNNNNNNNNNNNNNNNNNNNNNNNNNNNNNNNNNNNNNNNNNNNNNNNNNNNNNNNNNNNNNNNNNNNNNNNNNNNNNNNNNNNNNUGGCUCAGAUUCAAUCCAAAAAUGGCUCAAAGGCCUUUCACUUUAUUCAUGGAUAAUACUUCUUGACAGAAUCAGCAUUUACAGGUCUUGGCAAUUCAUGACCAUCCAUUUCUACAAGGAUUAGUGCCCCACCGGGUAGCACUUUCUUUACAAUAUAUGGACCUUCAUAGUUUGGAGUAAACUUCCCACGAUGAUCUAGAAUGAUAGGUAAAACCUUCCUCAAGACAAGAUCGUUGAUCUCAAAAUGUCUUGGUCUAACUUUGCGAUUAAAUGACCUAGCUACUCUCUUCUGAUAGCUUUGUCCAUGGCAUAAGGCUUUUACCCUCUUUUCAUCAAUCAUAUUAAGUUGUUCAAAUCUUUGUUGAACCCAUUCAGCUUCAGAGAGCUUGAUUUGAGAAAGUACCCUUAGUGAAGGAAUUUCCACUUCCACGGGUAAUACAGCUUCCAUCCCAUAAACCAAUGAGAAUGGUGUUGCCCCAGUUGAAGUACGAAUUGAAGUUCAAUAAGCAAACAAAGCAUAUGGCAACCAAUCAUGCCAAUCACGAUAAUUUUCUGCCGUUUUAGCCAAAAUCUUCUUGAUGUUCUUAUUUGCCGCUUCCACAGCUCCAUUCAUUUGUGGGCAGUAAGGAGAAGAAUUCAAAUGGCGAAUGUGGAAUUCUCCAAGUAAAUCAUCCACCACUUUAUUGUUCAAGUUUGAUCCAUUAUCUGUGAUGAUCGCUUCAGGAACUCCAUAUCGGGCGAUGAUAUCUCGACAGAUGAAUUUUGCCACACUCUUUGUAGUAACAUGGGCAUAAGAAUUGGCUUCAAUCCAUUUGGUGAAGUAAUCAAUUGCUACUAAGAUAAAACGAUGUCCAUUUGAUGCUUUAGGAUUAAUUAGUCCGAUGAUGUCAAUGCCCCACAUUGAAAAAGGCCAGGACUCAGACAUUUGAUGUAACUCAUUAGGAGGAGCAUUGAUUUUGUCUCCAUAGACUUGGCAUUGAUGACAACACAUCACAUGCUGAAUACAAUCGGCUUCCACAGUCAACCAAUAAUAACCGAGCCUCAUAAUUUUUCUAGCCAAGAGAUGGCCAUUCAUAUGUGGACCACACUCUCCUUCAUGUAUUUCUUUCAUUAGGAGUUUAGCUUCUUGUGCGUCCACGCAUUUCAGUAAAACUAAAUCGAAAGACCUUUUAUAGAGAGCUCCUCCACUGAGGAAGAAUUUGGAUGCCAACUUCAUCAAGUAUUUUCGAUCAUUAACUUGACUCCCUUGGGGGAAUUUGCCUUUUCGAAGGUAAUUCAUGAUGUCAUAGUACCAGGGUUGACCAUCAGGUUCUUCUUCUAUCAACAGGCAAUAAGCAGGCUUUUUCAAAACGUUGAUUUGCAAAGGAUCAACGCUCAAACCAUCAGCUACUUGCAACAUCGAAGAUAAAGUUGCCAAGGCAUCGGCAAACUGAUUUUGUGAUCUCGACAGAUAAUCAAAAGAGAUCUCGUCAAAUUCUUUGACUAAGUCUUCGAGAUAUUCGUGGUAAGGGAUUAAUUUUACAUCCCGUGUUUGCCAUUCACCUUCCGUCUGGUGGAUGAUGAGUGCAGAAUCACCAUAAACUUGAAGCUUUCUGAAUUUCAUAUCGAUGGCUAAUUGCAAGCCAAGGAUGCAUGCUUCAUAUUCAGAAAUAUUGUUGGUACAAGGGAAUACCAAUUUGCAGCUACUGGAUAAUGUUGAUCUUCCGAGGAUAUUAAAACUGCCCCAGUGCCAGAACUAGAAAGGUUAACUACACCGUCAAAAUACAUGGUCCACUUGUCAGGCGAAACCAAAUAAAUCCGUUCAUCGAUUUCAUCCCAAUCAUUAGAUUUCUCGGGAUUUUCGGCUAACAUAUCAGCUAUGGCUCGCCCUUUGAUGGACUUUUGUGCCAUGCUUUGAAUAUCAAACUCAGAGAGUAAUAUUUGCCAUUUGGCGAGCCUUCCAACCAAUGCAGGCUUUUCCAAAAGAUAUUUGAUUGGGUCAUUCUCAGUCACCAAAAGGAUGCGGUGAUGCAAAGUAUAUUGUCUCAGUCAGUGUAAAACUCAAAUCAAGGCUACACAGGUCUUUUCCACCUUAAGAUAUCGAAUCUCGGAAGUAGUAAACUUCUUACUGAGGUAAUAUAUGGCACGUUCUAUUCCAUCCCUUGGUCCUUUUUGUGCUAACAUGGCUCCUAAAGACUCCUCAUGAAUGGUGAGAUAUAGGAUCAGAGGCGCGCCUUGGAUAGGUGGUACAAGUACAGGAGAUUGCGAAAGAUAUUGCUUCAGUUCUUCAAAUGAUUUCUGACAUUCUUCAUCCCAGUUGACCUUAGCGUUCUUCUUUAAUAACUUGAAGAAUGGCUUAGCAGCUUCUGACAAUUGAGAGAUAAAUCUUGCAACAUAAUUCAAUCUUCCUAAUAAACUUCGGACUUCUUUAACAGUAGAAGGAGGUUUCAAAUCGCAUAUGGCCUUCACCUUAGAGGGAUCUAUCUUGAUACCCUUGUUACUAACCAUAAAUCCAAGAAGCUUUCCAGACUUUGCCCCAAAUAUGCAUUUUGCGGGGUUAAGCCUCAGCUUAAAUUUCCUCAAACGGUCAAAUAAUCUUCUUAAGAUUUCAACAUGAUCUUCAUCUUCUCUUGACUUUGCAAUCAUGUCAUCAACAUAAACUUCAAUCUCCUUAUGCAUCAUGUCAUGGAAUAGUGUCACCAUGGCUCUUUGAUAUGUUGCCCCUGCAUUCUUUAAGCCAAAGGACAUAACUUUGUAGCAAAAUGUUCCCCAUGGGGUGAUGAAUGAAGUUUUAGUCUUAUCAUCCUCUUUCAUCCGGAUUUGGUUAUAACCAGAAAAUCCAUCCAUGAAGGAGAACAAUUCAAAUCCGGCAAUACUGUCAACUAAAAGAUCAAUGUGCGGCAAAGGAAAAUCGUCCUUAGGGCUUGCCUUAUUCAGAUCACGGUAAUCAACACAUACUCGGACUCGUCUAUCCUUUUUCAUAACCGGGACUAUAUUAGCAAUCCAAUCCGCAUACUGGGUGACUUCAAUGAAACCAACAUUUAAGAGCUUCAUGACUUCCUCUUCAAUCUUUUUCGACAAUUCAGGUUUCGUCCUUCUAAGCUUUUGCUUCUUCGGUAGAAUAUUAGGAUCAAGUGGUAACGCAUGUUCCACAAUCUCAAGAUCUAAACCUGGCAUAUUGACAUACGACCAAGCAAAAAUAUCUCGAUAUUCUUUCAAAAGCCCAAUUAGUCUAUUGGCAUCUGCUUGAGAGAGACCCGCCCCAAUCUUGGUUUCUUUAGGGUUGUCUGAAUCUCCCAAAUUUACAGUGACUGGUUGUUCGGUGGUAGGAGGUUUGGACUCUUCAUGUAUGAGCCACUCUUUUUCAAUACCUCGAUGAUCAUCCUCAUUCUCUGAAUCGGAAUAAUGGGGUUCGUCAAAAUCUUUUGAAUGCGAAUCCGAGCCAUGUGAAUGACUAUCGUGAUGUGAAAUGUCAUGCCUGAGAUGUAAUUGAAAAAAAAUGGUUAGUAUAUGUACACCUAAAUGAAUAUAAUGUAUGUAAAUGUCAUGAAAAAUUUGUUUUCAAGUUCAAGUUUUAUUGGGAACUAGCCCUCAUGUCAUUGGACGUCUUCGUUCCACCAAAACAUUUUGAAACUAUAGAUCGUGUGGAGGCUCAGGCCUCAAAGCAUCAUCAUAGGACUAAUUUGGGCCUCACACGUCUAUUAACAAAACAUGAAUUUUAUUGAUAUGCAAAAAUUGCAUUACAACGUAUAUCAUCUUGGAUCUAGAAAGUUUAUGAUCUAGAUUAUUACAAACACAAACGAAUAAAAUGAAUAGAAUUUCCUCGCAGGGGAGAAAUGAAUGAAAUUCCCUCAUAGGGGAGAAAUGAAUGGAAUACAACUAAAAAUUAAGUACAAGAACUAGAAACAUCCCUUACACAGUGGGAAUUGUAUGCUCUUCAUCUUCACUAAUAGUGCCAACUAGACCAUCUUCAAACAAAUCAGCAAAGUGAUAGACAUUGGCCUCUUCUUCUUGCAAGAGCUUAGGCGGACCAGGAAAGAAAUCUUUCAAAGGUAGAGGCAAGAGACGUUGGUAGCUUUUACCCUUGAUGUUUGGGCCUUUGCGAUUACCUUGACCCUUACGAUCGCCUUGAUAACCCAGGCCUUCACGCUUGUUGAUUUUGACCACUUUAAUAGGAUCUGGCAUGCCUUGGGCUGACUUACCCAAACCUUUCCCCAUAGCAAAACCAUUUUUGAGCAAUUCUCUACUUGCCAUCAGGGAGGCCUCUGAGAACCGAGGCUUUCUAAUAAUCGACCCAACAGGCACAUGAGUGACAGACACCAUCUCAAACAAGUGAUAGCUCGACUCUCCCUUGACCUCAGGCUCAAUGAAAGGUAUGGCCGUGUUAUGGAAAGUCUCCACAUCUCUUUCACGUCGAAUAGUCACAAUCUUUCCAUCGAUAGGAAGUUUCAUCAUCUGAUGAAGACUGGAAGGAAUAAUUCCUGCAGCAUGGAUCCAAGGCCGUCCCAGUAGCAGGCUAAAGUUGCUUGGGAUAUCCAGUACUUGAAACUUUUGAGUCAUGGUAAUAGGGCCAAUUGUCAGUGGUAAAUCGAUUUCCCUUAUUGUUUCUCUCUUCAUCCCAUCAAAGGCUCGAACAGGAAUUGUUGGAGAAGAGACAUUUUCCAUUCCUAUCCCCAAUUUAUGAAGGGUGGAUAAAGGGAAAAUGUUCAAGGAAGAGCCAUUAUCGAUCAGGACCUUCGAAAUCUUUGUCUCAAAAUGUUGAGCAGACACAUAUAACGCCUUAGUGUGUGCUUGGCCCUCAGGAGGGAGGUCUCUCUCAGAGAAAGUAAUUUGAUCUCUUAGAAGUAUUGCACCCACAAACUCCUCCAAUUGUACUUCUCCAAUAGCCUCGGGUACAUGAACUUCAUUUAAAAUUUUGAGGAGAGCAUUUCUAUGCUUUUCAGAGGUCUUGAAGAGCUCCAAUAGAGAAUCUGCGCAGGCAUCUUGCGCAAUUGAUCAAUCACUUCAGCCUCACUUGUCUUGAGUGUUUUGAGGAGUUGUUUAGCUUCCUCAUCAGUUACGGCCUUCUUUUCCUCACCUUCACGUGGUGGGUAGAUUCGACCCGAUCGGGUGACGGCGUCGAUUUCAUUUGUAUUAUAAUUCCAAGGGACCGCCCUAGUGUCAAAAGUAGGAAUCACUUUAGUGUUGGAACAUUCACCUAAUUCUGGUGGUAACUCGAUCACAACAGGACCAAAACCCGUGUUAGAGAUCUUCAUGGCUCCAAAAUUAUCAACCAAUGAGCCGACUUCGAUGACACUCUUAGCAGUUGUAUCACUCCCACAUGGGAUUUUUCCUUUAGUCAAAUCAAUUACAACAGGUUCAAUCAUAGCCAUGAAUUCAUCCUUGAAUUCCUCUCCCCAUCCACUAGGGACAAUGUCUUUAGAGUUUUGGAAAUAACUUGGAGGAGUAUACUUGACUAUAAAGUCGUAUUUCCCACUUGGUUGUCCCAAGGUGUCUACCACUUCACCCUUCUCAUGGGCUUUCCUCACAAAUUCACGGUCUGAAUGGGAAGUUUUGUAUUCAUCCUCUUCUUCGCUAUAGGAGUAGACCUCUUUAUCCUUUGGCAAAAUUGAAAUAAGGUCUUCUUCAUCAUGAAUGACGUGACCUUUCAACUGGUGAUCAUCGAAUGGCAUGCUCUGUUUCAUCUCCUGGGUAUCCAUCAAGGGUAUAUCUUCGUCAACAUCCCCAUAAAUCAUGUUGACAUUUUCAGAAUGCUUUGGAAGAUGAUUUUGUUGGACAUUCGAUGCUGAAUCCUUGAAGGUGAGCAGCUUUUUAUCCAGCAAAUUAUGGAUCUUAUAACGGAGCACAAAACAAUUAUCUACAUUAUGACCUUUUUCACCCAUAUGAUAUUCACAUAUCUUAUUAAGGUCGAAUCCGGCAAACUUUGGCGGAUUAUUCCUUGGGAUCUCUUUUGCAACAAGAUGAUUUUCGAUUAGCAUUGGAAGUAGUUGAGACAUGGGCCUAGGUAGUGGGGUAAAUUGCCUUUGAAGGGUUUUUCCUUUGUACUCAAAAUUUCUGGAAGAACCCCCUACUUCCAUGGCAGGUUUAUGAAUUUGAGGAUUAUAUGGCUUCUGAGAAGAGAAAUUUUGUACAUAGGCGAUCUCCACAGUCGAUUCUUUAUCCCUCUUCGGGGUAUAUCGACGAUUUGUGUUCUCAGACAACCUUCCUUCUCGCAUAAUCUCCUCGAUGCGUUCUCCCAACUCUACAAAUGUAGCAAAGUUCAUACAAGUAUGGUUGUACAUCUUCUCAAAAAGAUCAUGGGGCAUAGCCUGAAGCAGCAAUUUCAUCGUCUCUUUCUCAGACAAUGGCGGUUUCACUUGAGACGCAGUGACCCUCCACCUUUGAGCGUAGGCCCUAAAUGAUUCAGUUCUUCUUUUCUCAACCCAAACCAAUUCCUCUUGAGUCGGAGCAAUUUCAGUAUUGAAUUUGUAUUGCUGAAGGAAUUCAUCAACGAGAUCCUCCCAAGUACGGAUUUUCUCCAUGUCCAACUCUAUAAACCAAGUUAAAUGAAUUGAUCAGAAGUGGGGGAUUAUCUUAAUAACGAGCCAUCUUGCCUAGAUAGUACUUCAAAUGAGUCUUCGGACAUCCGAUGCCGUCGUAUUUCCUUGUGAACUCCGGCUCCUUAUAAAAUUCAGGGACCGUAAUUUUGGCAAAGGGCGAUAGUUUAUCAAACCCCUACAACUGAUAGCCUUGCAGCAUGCAAAGGCGUUCUUCGAUCUUGGCGAGGUGCCUUGCAUUUUCUUCAUCAAAGUGCGAAGUUGGUAUCUCUUUAGAUUGAGGCUCUGGACCGAUAACUAUCGGGAUUGCAGUGGGGAUCUCUUCUACAGGCCCUUUUGCCACAGGCUCUACUACAGGCACUUCAGGGGGCGCGGUAGGAAUAUUCAUGGUAGAAGAAGUAGAUGUCAAGUUUUUGAUUUGGCUAGAGAGAUCGGCCAAUAACGUCAUCAUUUGUGCCAUUUGAUUCUCCAUAUUAAUGACACGGGCUCGGGUAUCUUCAUUUUCCAUCUUUGUUUGGCGGCGAGUUCGUAUAACAAAUCUUUCUUCAGCCGUUUUUUCAAAACCUCCUGUAAAAUAAAAUGACUCGAAUUAGUACCGAUCAAAAGAAACCAUUAAAGUACAAAUCCUAGUCAAUUUUAUAUUUUCUUGAGAUGAAAUAAUGAUAAGAAGUGUAUAUGAUCCCAGUAUCAUAUAACCUCCUCUUAUCAAAAUUUCUUCAAAAGAAAUUAUACAAUUGAAAAGGAACGACGACAAAUAUUUAAUCAGAAUGCCCCUUUUCUAGAAGUUACAUGAAAAAUGUUCAUGAAUUUCAUUCAUUUCAAUCGAACAAUUACAAGGGAAAACAAAACCUUGCUUUCUUGAAGCUUACAAAGUAGUUCGACUUUACAUGCGAUGUUUACAUGGGAUAUGAAAAUGAAUACAAGUAAACCUCAAUAGAAAGGAGGGAAACACAAAUGAAAUCCCUUUACAAGAAAAGCAUAUGAAAUGAAAACCUAAGUACUAGGCGAGAUCGUGCGGAGACGCUUGUUUUCAUGGGCUAAGCAUUCCUCAUCGAUCAAGACACUGUUUUCUUGCUCCUGAAUAUGAGCUUGUUGAAGUCUUUGAGGCUCGGGAACAUCCGGCAACUGAACCUUGAGCUCGGGUUCUACUUGACAGUAUAUGUAAUCGAUGGUAGCUUGAUGGGUCUUCAUCUCUCCUUCCAAAUCAGCUUCAUCGAUGGCAACCACGUGAUGCGAGGAAUGGGAGUACCAAAUCCCAAUAGCAGCUUGAAUUGCGGCCUUGAUAUGGUCAAUUUGGUUUUCCUUGAUGACUUCAUUGUGAUAAUCAAUACGAUAUAACCCCAGCUUGAGGAUUGGCGGGAUCGUUUGAAGCGCGCGAUAUUGGCGGAGUACCCUUAAAGGGUAAUAUGACGUUAAACCGUCAGUCCCACGAGGGGAAGUGGAUUGUCAACUCCACUAAAAAGGCGCACCUCGGGAUUCCCAAGCCAUCGAGCAUGCCAUUGAAUUAAGCUAUGGUUGAGAUUUUUAAGGAAAUGGAACCACAUAGAGAAAGACCAUGAUGGAAAGGAUUCGUUUCGUUGGGAAAAUCUAAGAAUUGGAUGAUGAUGUUUUGUGACAUCAAUAAUCUUCAUGUGAGGGCAAACUCUUUGAUAUGUGAAAAGAGCCAAAUUUGGAGAAGUCCUAAUGGGGCUCUAAGAGUUCCUCAACCAUUUGCUUUAAAUCGAUUAAAAGACACAAAAGUUUCGGCAAUGAUCAUAUGUGUGAAACAAUUAAAUGCGCACACUUGGUUGACAAUGUGUGUGACUAAAGGAUCCAUUGUUUUUCGGGUAUAUGGGAAAAUCACAAAACCAAAGAAUAUGAGUAGGAAGACACGAGGAAUUUGGUUCCCAGAUUUUGGCUCAAGGCUACGGAAAUGUUUUUCGAGGAAAUUAUAAGGCAUGGCAUGAGAGUUUCCAUUAAGAAUAGCUUCAAUUUUAUCAUAAGGGAUAUUGAGGAAUUGACUUAGAAGAGAUAUUGGAUUUUGGCCAAUAGGAGGAGUAACAAAACCUAAAGAAGCUUUACCUAAUCCAAUGGCUUUUUGGAACUCCUCAAUUGUAGGGGUCAAUUCACAUUGAUUAAACACGAAAGUAGAAGUCACAGGAUUCCAAAAAUGAGCCAAUAUUGCAAUACGUGGUUCGACUUUUAAUAAAGUCGGGAGGAAGCCUAUGCGCUUUUCCUCGUAGUCUUGAUGUCUUGGGUCGAGAUUCUCCCAUAAAGUCUUGAGAUUCCAGGCACAGGGAUCACGUCUACUUCAGGUCUACCCAUCUAAUCUAAACCUAAAGGGGCAUACAUGAUUAAACAUAUCGUCGCUGAAAUAUAGAAUUGCAUAAUUGAAAUAUGGAAAGUAAAAAAAUAAGCACGAUGAAAAAGGAAAAUAUCUUACCCACCAGACACAUGACAAGCACAAAUCACAUGUCGUAUGAAACUGUGAGGUUUUAACGCCUAAGGUGAGGGUACUAAAAGCUCAAGGUCUUCAUCCCAAAGGAUAAAAAUAGUUUACCCACCGCUACUAUCGUCGGUCAGUGCUAUUUUUAUCGGUUGGGAUGAGCGGGUUUAUGUAAGUAAUGGAUUACCACGAGCAUCCACUCGCAUAUUCCACCCAUAAACCCUCCUAAGGUCCUAGAUUGGGUGAUCGGGGUUUUAGACCGCGGUUGUGUGUGCGGUGUCAUGCUAAAGUUGGUAAACAUGCAUUUAAAUUUAAACAUCCAGCACUUCAAUAUAAACCCACAUACAUUUAUUCAUCCUUACACCACCUGCAAAACAAAGGGUUUACAAGCACACCUCCCCUUAUAACUCCCACCUACAAUACCAUUUAACAUAAGGUUAGUGACUAACCUGAUUUUCCACGCGACUUUGACAUGCAGGCGAUCCUACAUAAGACAUGUUAGUUAAAACACAACAACCAUUUUUAAAUGGCUUCAAGUCCUUUAACCUAGUAACCAGUCCCCAGCGGAGCCGCCAAGCCUGUCGCGACCCGGAUCUCGCCGCCCCUCGAAAUGGUAUCCAAGGAGGGGAAAGGUCGGGUUUAGGGAUACUUAAUCUCGAGAUCACGAGCUCUCCCAAGCUCGUACCCCGCGUGACAGCGAAUUUAUUUAUAUGAUCUAGGUAUUUAACAACCUAAAAAUAUAUAGGAGUCGCCACUAGCCUCAUUUUUUGGGGGUCGGCUAGAAACCCAAUCGAGGGUCGGGAGUAUUCCCUCGAUUCCUACGCAACCAGAUAUCUAGAUUCGGAGACUUGGGUUACGCUAAUAUUGCUAUUAGCGCCCUUUCGGUACCUAAACAGUAUGUUGUGUUUUUCCUAACAUGUCCAUGCAUUUUUUUAUAUUUUCAGGAUCGUCGAUUCUAUACUAAAUGAUCAUGUGUGUUGGAUUACUUUCAUUCUAUUCUAUUUCUAAAAAAAAAAUGAAAAGAAACCAAUCAAUGAAAUUGAAAUUGCAAGACAUGAAGUAAACAAUCAAGAGAAAGCGGUAAACCUAAUCAUGCAAUUCUAAAAGAAAGUAUAAAAGAGAAAUAUAUGGGAAAAAGAGAGAAAAACCCGCAACUCGUCGGGUUUUAUACAACAAAUGGAGCCCGAGACAUAUGUCGGGAAAAUGGGUAUUACAUGAAAAUGGUCGGAAUGGACAUCGACCUCCACCAUCUUCACGCCUCUCCAUCUUCAAGGUCCUAAUCUAAACCUAAUCUAAAACACUAAUAACUAGGUGCGUACAAAUAAAAGAAACAAUCAAACACAUCAAGCAACCAUUUUCAUUUCUAAAGAAGUACAAUGUGAAAAUCAAGUUUCGAGUGAUAUCCUAAAGUUCAACAUUGAUAUGUGUCGCACCAAAAUCGUUCGUCAAAUGAUCACAUGCAAAGCAUAUAAUAUGACAGGCAUCCAAGCCAUAUAACAUUGGUCCUCAGUUAAUCAAACAAAUGAAUUAGCUGACAAAAGAUCAUUCACCAAACAAUAUGCAUCAUUGAACAUGUUCAUGCUACAUGUAUAUCCAUCUAAUAAAUGCUUAAUCCAUAACUUCCAGCAUGCAAUCAGAAUUGUAACAGAGCACAUGAGACUAUAAAUUGUGAUUGUUUGAUGACAAAUCACCAUGAAAUUGAAGCCAUAUCUUAUCACAAGCACGUAUGAGUCUUUUUGAUCAAAAUGGCAUCAAUUCAUAACCAAACUAACCGCAAGUUAAAAUCAAAUGCACACCCAAUCAUGGUAGCAACUUUCAUGGAAAAAGUUUUUUAACGUGAGCUACAUAGAAGUUAAAGAAAAUUCAAGAAUGCACAAUAUUAUGUCGAAAUUGCAGCAAAAUAUCGGGAUGUCGUGACACAUUAAUGGUGAUUUGACCUAAAAAGAAAAUCUGAAGAAUAUGAAAUUUUACCACAGCGCGAACAAAAGAGAGGCAAACAACUUUUGUUAAGGAUCCAAUCUUAGAAUUCCUUAACAAGAAAAUCACAGAAAAAAUGAUGAGGUCAGCUUUGACAAGGAAAAACGGGGGUUAUGAAUUUCAUUUUUAUGACAGAUUUCUAUCAUGCGAAUCACAAGAAAAGUUGAGUUCAAUUGAUAUGCAAAUCAUGUGAAAUCAGCAUCAUAAGAACAAAUUUCACGAGGAAGCCUCUCAAAAUUUUUAACACGUGAGUUUCUAAAAGUUCAAGAACAUGAACAAGUCAAUCAAGAAUAGAACAUAGUAGCAUGUCACACCAUCAUUCUACAACAUAUUGACAGCAAUUGGACAAAUCUAUUAUCUCAUCUUAAGACUAACAGCAACUAGCCACAGAAAAGACAGCAUUUCUAUAAUCGAAUCAACUUCAAAAAUCAAAGACAACAUUUCAUUAUAUAUUGUAACUAAAAGCACGUGAAUUUACAAAAUCCUAGAAGAGAUCAUUUUUUAUGUAGAUGAUGGAAGUGUGGAUCGUUAGGUAAAUCAUUUUUAUCAAUGGUUGCCAUCUAAGGGAACAUCUGCAAAAGUGUCUUCAUCUUAUAGAUAUUCCUGUAUAACUGUGGCAGUUUUUUUUUAACCAUCUGGAGCGUAUAUUCCUGUAUAACUGUGGCAGUUUUUUUUUAACCAUCUGGAGCGUAUAUCUUUUGGCCGAAUGGUACAUACCCUAUUGAGUAUGACAGGAAUGCACAUUUUCUUCCAGAAUAUUUCACUCAGGACAGCUCAUGACUGAUGACAGUUUAUAAUUGUAAGUCCUUACAAUAUCUAGGUUCCUUUGACUAUUUUGAGGGGGACCACUGCUGGAUGAAGUACAUCAAAGGAUCAAUUCAUGGACAUAGCAGGCGGUUUGUCAUGCACUCAGUUUUCUCGCCAGAUUGCUAAAAUGCAUUCAUGACACUGCAUCACUAUUAGAUUGUUUCAUCAUGUUCCUAAUGUUAACUAAGCUUUUAGAGGUUUGAGGCCAUUAAUGGCGACCAUAAUGAAGUAUUUGUAUUGACAACUGCAAUUGUGGAAACUCACACAUGAAUCAACAGAGUAGUAUCUAACAUUAUCUCAUAUCGAACCACAAUGAUGUCCAACUGAUGAUGGGAUUGAGGAAACAAGCAGCACAUAGGAUUAUUGUGUAUUUACCUAGCUCGUGACACUAGACAGGAGAUAAGACCCGAGAAAUCGUCCAGAGAGCGAGCCUCCGAUCGAGAGAGUUACUAAUCUCCGGGAGCGAUCCUCAACCAGUCGGAACAAAGAGAAUCUCCGAUCCUGAUGAAGCUAGAUCCGGGCGAGAGCGAUCGAGUGUCUGUAAGAAAAAGAGAAUUAGAGCAGGAAAGAGAAUUCCCGAGCGAAAGAGUCAGCUUGAGUCCCAGAGAGCGUGUGAGAUCUGGAGAACGUCCUUGAGAGAGAGAAACCGUUCGGCCGUUUUUCCUCCGAGAGAGAAUCUGAGCCGAGAGCAUUCGUCCGUUCCGUCACAGUCGCGGCUGCACUGACCGAUAUAGGAAAUUUAGCUGCGGCCAAUGACGGCUUCAAGCUCUUCAUCUUCGAAGCCAUAAACAUCACCGGCGAUUUCUUCUCAUUCUCCAUCUUCUUCGACUCUAUCUAUCCAGAAGCACAAACCUCCGAGCGGCAGAACUCCCGACGGAAGAAACAAAAACCGAUCGCGAGUGGAGAUCAACUUCGGAUCUCAGUACCGGAGGCAACAGGCCAAAGCCGAUCGCGAGUGGAGAUCAACUUCGGAUCUCAGUACCGGAGGCAACAGGCCAAAGCAAUGGUGGAGACGAAGGAUGCGACGGUUGGUGACCGGAUUGCGGUACCGGCGGUGCACGAAUCGAAUCUCCGCUGCAAUGGGAAGAACUUGAAGAUUUGGGAUCCGAGUCGAGUGCAGAGAAAGAGAGAAAGC
rnacentral:lncRNA from 1 species